GGCGAACGGGUGAGUAACACGUGAGUAACCUGCCCCCUUCUUCUGGAUAACCUCAUGAAAGUGGGGCUAAUACGGGAUAUUCUGGUCUGGUCGCAUGGCUGGGCUGGGAAAGAUGCGCCUUUUGGGUGUUUUUGGUGGGGGAUGGGCUCGCGGCCUAUCAGCUUGUUGGUGGGGUGAUGGCCUACCAAGGCGGUGACGGGUAGCCGGUCUGAGAGGGUGGACGGCCACACUGGGACUGAGACACGGCCCACACUCCUACGGGAGGCAGCAGGGGGGAAUAUUGCACAAUGGGCGCAAGCCUGAUGCAGCGACGCCGCGUGAGGGAUGGAGGCCUUCGGGUUGUGAACCUCUUUCGCCAGUGAAGCAGGCCUGCUCCUGUGUGGGUGGGUUGACGGUAGCUGGAUAAGAAGCGCCGGCUAACUACGUGCCAGCAGCCGCGGUAAUACGUAGGGCGCGAGCGUUGUCCGGAAUUAUUGGGCGUAAAGAGCUCGUAGGCGGCUGGUCGCGUCUGUCGUGAAAUCCUCUGGCUUAACUGGGGGGCUUGCGGUGGGUACGGGCCGGCUUGAGUGCGGUAGGGGAGACUGGAAUUCCUGGUGUAGCGGUGGAAUGCGCAGAUAUCAGGAGGAACACCGGUGGCGAAGGCGGGUCUCUGGGCCGUUACUGACGCUGAGGAGCGAAAGCGUGGGGAGCGAACAGGAUUAGAUACCCUGGUAGUCCACGCCGUACACGUUGGGCACUAUGUGUGGGGGGCCUUUUCCGGGUUUCUUCCGCGCCGUAGCUAACGCAUUAAGUGCCCCGCGCUGGGGA
rnacentral:rRNA from 1 species